rnacentral:rRNA from 2 species
GUAACGGCGAGUGAAGCGGCAACAGCUCMAAUUUGAAAUCUGGCCUCUUCGGGGUCCGAGUUGUAAUUUGUAGAGGGUGUUUCGGGCGCGAUGCCGGUCUAAGUUCCUUGGAACAGGACGUCGUAGAGGGUGAGAAUCCCGUAUGCGACCGGCGAUCAAGCCUGUGUGAAGCCCCUUCGACGAGUCGAGUUGUUUGGGAAUGCAGCUCAAAAUGGGUGGUAAAUUUCAUCUAAAGCUAAAUAUUGGCCAGAGACCGAUAGCGGACAAGUAGAGUGAUCGAAAGAUGAAAAGCACUUUGGAAAGAGAGUCAAACAGUACGUGAAAUUGUUGAAAGGGAAGCGCUUGCAAUCAGACCGGUCCGGAGGCGAUCAGCCGCUGCUCGUCAGCGGUGCACUCGCCUGCGAUCCGGCCAGCAUCGGUUUGGGCGGUGGGAUAAAAGUUCCGGGAAUGUAGCUUCUUUCGGGGAGUCUUAUAGCCCGGGUCGCAAUGCCGCCCGCUCGGACCGAGGACCGCGCUUCGGCUAG